ensembl:lncRNA
ACUCUAUAUUAGUCGCUCCAUUUCCUAGACAAACAGCACGGUGCUUCUUUUAAUGCGCCGUUUAUUUACUACAAUUGGAAAUAUUUCUUCAUUUAUCCAGUCUACUGAAAAUCCAUCUUAAUCUGAAUGAAGCUGAAAACUGAACCAAGUGAUAAUCUGCAAAGAGAGGAUGACAAAAGAUAUGUAUUCAAUACCUGCAAAUCUUAAAAAUAAGUGAUUUAAAGAGUCACUUCCAGCUGACUCAAACUCAAGCUGAGGAGUUGGUACGGCUGUUGGCGCCUUGGAAAUGGACUUCCAUUAGGCAAGAGGAAUAGACAGUGUGGCAUCCUGUGCUUGGUAGUCUGUGGGCUCUUUCUACCCAAGAGUCUUACCACAGUGUGGCAAACCGCUACACGUCACAGAGUCACUCAUUUGUGAUCAGCUGGAUGUAUUCUGCACCCUUGUUACCAGUAUCUUGGAUAAUGAAACUCAUUGGCUUCAGUGGGAGGAAGCAGAAAUAUCUGUGGUGGGCUUCUUUUCUACUGUGGGGUUAUCAGAUACUCUCUGUGUAGUAGGAAUGUGUUUCAUUCCUGUUGAGAAACCUACCGAUGUGCCAGAUCCAGAGGUACAUAGAAACGCAGAGGGGUUGUAUGCUGUAAAACUCUUGGCUUCUUGCAACCACAAGGGUCAUUUCACCUGUGUCUGGUGCACCAUAGAAACUGGCAUAACUCAAGAGUCCUGUCAGCAUCAGAGGUUGACAAGGCAUUGCAGAAAGACCAUGUGACACUUUUACAUGGCAAACACAUCACUGGCAAUUUCACCUUUCCACUUUCAGAGCACUUUCUGACUCCAUUCCCAGAUUAUGCAACAAUAGGACAGAAAAAUGUAUGUUAUAACCGGAAAGUGCAGUCAUCUCUUGCAGCGGUGCAAGGCUCCAUCAGUACUCUGAGAAAUUCUUUUCAGCGGCUCAGAUGUCUGCAGAAGCAUUCCAUUUGCCAAACCAGUUUAGCUGUGAAGACCUGCUGUAUUUUAUACAACAUGUUCCUAAAAACAUAAAGUGCCAGUGGACUGCACUGAGGAUGAUGUAGCCCAAAAACCUUUCCGUUAACUACCCUACGGACACUCUGGAAGUCUUGGUGGAAUAUCUAGAAGACAAGACAUCACAGCUGUAUAAGUAUUAUCAAAUAAUGCUGUAUACGAUAAUGAAUGCAAUAUGCUGACAAAAUGUUCAAAUUUAAAUUAUAAGGUGACUGUUCUGUUAAUCACUGUAGUAUGUAUAUUUUUUUUGUUAUGUGUACUAUUAUGUUGUAAUAUGUUGGAGUGGCAUCAUACAAGUACUUACAAAAUCAAGAAGGACAAGUUUUUGUGUAAUAGGGAUCUAAAGUUUUCAUCUGCAAAUUAAAACCAGGGUUUUCAACUAGGGAUCUGUGAGCAGAUGUGUAAAACAGGAUUUUCUACUAUGCAUUAUUAAUCCAUUAUGCAUUAUGGAAUGUUAAUUAUAGUUUAAAUAAAAAAUAAUACAAAAUGCUAUUUAAGUCUUUGGGUUGGCUAAUAGCCUGUGCGAGGGAUCCCCGAAU